UAGUCGAGCGGACCGACGGGAGCUUGCUCCCUUAGGUCAGCGGCGGACGGGUGAGUAACACGUGGGUAACCUGCCUGUAAGACUGGGAUAACUCCGGGAAACCGGGGCUAAUACCGGAUGCUUGAUUGAACCGCAUGGUUCAAUCAUAAAAGGUGGCUUUUAGCUACCACUURCAGAUGGACCCGCGGCGCAUUAGCUAGUUGGUGAGGUAACGGCUCACCAAGGCGACGAUGCGUAGCCGACCUGAGAGGGUGAUCGGCCACACUGGGACUGAGACACGGCCCAGACUCCUACGGGAGGCAGCAGUAGGGAAUCUUCCGCAAUGGACGAAAGUCUGACGGAGCAACGCCGCGUGAGUGAUGAAGGUUUUCGGAUCGUAAAACUCUGUUGUUAGGGAAGAACAAGUACCGUUCGAAUAGGGCGGYACCUUGACGGUACCUAACCAGAAAGCCACGGCUAACUACGUGCCAGCAGCCGCGGUAAUACGUAGGUGGCAAGCGUUGUCCGGAAUUAUUGGGCGUAAAGCGCGCGCAGGCGGUUUCUUAAGUCUGAUGUGAAAGCCCCCGGCUCAACCGGGGAGGGUCAUUGGAAACUGGGGAACUUGAGUGCAGAAGAGGAGAGUGGAAUUCCACGUGUAGCGGUGAAAUGCGUAGAGAUGUGGAGGAACACCAGUGGCGAAGGCGACUCUCUGGUCUGUAACUGACGCUGAGCGCGAAGCGUGGGGAGCGAACAGGAUUAGAUACCCUGGUAGUCCACGCCGUAAACGAUGAGUGCUAAGUGUUAGAGGGUUUCCGCCCUUUAGUGCUGCAGCAAACGCAUUAAGCACUCCGCCUGGGGAGUACGGUCGCAAGACUGAAACUCAAAGGAAUUGACGGGGGCCCGCACAAGCGGUGGAGCAUGUGGUUUAAUUCGAAGCAACGCGAAGAACCUUACCAGGUCUUGACAUCCUCUGACAACCCUAGAGAUAGGGCUUCCCCUUCGGGGGCAGAGUGACAGGUGGUGCAUGGUUGUCGUCAGCUCGUGUCGUGAGAUGUUGGGUUAAGUCCCGCAACGAGCGCAACCCUUGAUCUUAGUUGCCAGCAUUCAGUUGGGCACUCUAAGGUGACUGCCGGUGACAAACCGGAGGAAGGUGGGGAUGACGUCAAAUCAUCAUGCCCCUUAUGACCUGGGCUACACACGUGCUACAAUGGGCAGAACAAAGGGCAGCGAAGCCGCGAGGCUAAGCCAAUCCCACAAAUCUGUUCUCAGUUCGGAUCGCAGUCUGCAACUCGACUGCGUGAAGCUGGAAUCGCUAGUAAUCGCGAUCAGC
rnacentral:rRNA from 1 species